UUAAGGUGCGGAGCCGUAGCGAAAGCGAGUUUUAACUGAGCGUUCAGUUACUUGACGUAGACCCGAAACCGGGCGACCUACCCAUGAGCAGGAUGAAGCGAAAGUAAAAUUUCGUGGAGGUCCGAACCCACGAGCGUUGAAAAGCUCGGGGAUGACUUGUGGGUAGCGGUGAAAUUCCAAUCGAGCCCGGAGAUAGCUGGUUCUCCCCGAAAUAGCUUUAGGGCUAGCCUCAAGGUGAGAGAUACGGAGGUAGAGCACUGAAUGUCCUAGGGGGUAUUGCACCUACCGAAGACUAUCAAACUCCGAAUGCCGUCAUCUUAUACUUGGGAGUCAGACUGUGGGUGAUAAGAUUCAUAGUCGAAAGGGCAACAGCCCAGAUCGUCAGCUAAGGUCCCUAAAUGUAAGUUAAGUGGUAAAGGAUGUGGGAUUGCACAGACAACCAGGAUGUUGGCUUAGAAGCAGCCACUCAUUCAAAGAGUGCGUAAUAGCUCACUGGUCGAGUGAUCCUGCGCCGAAGAUUUCCGGGGCUAAAACUUACUACCGAAGCUACGGCAUCAGUAAUGAUGGGUAGGGGAGCUUCCCAUACGGGUUGAAGCAUGACCGUAAGGACAUGUGGACAGUAUGGGAGUGAGAAUGUUGGC
rnacentral:rRNA from 1 species